CAGUCGCCGCGGGAAUACGUAGGGUCCGAGCGUUGUCCGGAAUUAUUGGGCGUAAAGAGCUCGUAGGCGGUUCGUCGCGUCUGCCGUGAAAUCCUCAGGCUCAACCUGAGGCGUGCGGUGGGUACGGGCGGGCUAGAGUGCGGUAGGGGAGAAUGGAACUCCUGGUGUAGCGGUGGAAUGCGCAGAUAUCAGGAAGAACACCGAUGGCGAAGGCAGUUCUCUGGGCCGUAACUGACGCUGAGGUGCGAAAGCGUGGGGAGCAAACAGGAUUAGAUACCCCCGUAGUCCCUGUCUCUUAUAC
rnacentral:rRNA from 1 species